UACGUAGGGUGCAAGCGUUAAUCGGAAUUACUGGGCGUAAAGCGUGCGUAGACGGUCAAGUAAGUCGGGUGUGAAAGCCCCGGGCUCAACCUGGGAAUUGCAUUCGAGACUGCGUGGCUAGGGUGCGGCAGAGGGGGAUGGAAUUCCGCGUGUAGCAGUGAAAUGCGUAGAUAUGCGGAGGAACACCGAUGGCGAAGGCAAUCCCCUGGGCCUGCACUGACGCUCAUGCACGAAAGCGUGGGGAGCAAACAGG
rnacentral:rRNA from 1 species